rnacentral:rRNA from 1 species
GACGAACGCUGGCGGCGUGCUUAACACAUGCAAGUCGAACGGGCCUGUCUUCUUUUUUGGGGGGUGGGUUGAGUGGCGAACGGGUGAGUAUCACGUGAGUAACCUGCCCUUCGGUCCUGGAUAACCGCUUGAAAGGGCGGCUAAUACGGGGUGGUCCGGUUGGUCCGCAUGGGCUGGUCGGGAUAGAUUCACUGUUUUUGGUGUUUCGGCGGGGGAUGGGCUCGCGGCCUAUCAGCUUGUUGGUGGGGUGAUGGCCUACCAAGGCGGUGACGGGUAGCCGGCCUGGGAGGGUGGGCGGCCACACUGGGACUGAGAUACGGCCCAGACUCCUGCGGGAGGCAGCAGUGGGGGGUAUUGCACAAUGGGCGGAAGCCUGAUGCAGCGACGUCGCGUGAGAGAUGGAGGCCUUCGGGUUGUGAACCUCUGUUUCCGGUGGUGAAGGCCCUGUCCGUGUGGUGGGGUUGACGGUAGCCGGGGAUGAAGCGCCGGCUAACUACGUG